GCCGGUCCAGUUCUCCAGUCAAUACCUGCCAAAGAAAGAAUGUACAAUUUGUUGUAUCAAUGAUAUUACUCAUCAACGAACUGCUAGUUGGAGAGGGAGGUCCAUUACGCGUUAGCUACCUCUAGAAUAGCCAGACAUUCUUGGCCAGGUUUCAGAAUGGAAGGAACUGAAUUGGCCACGCACGAUGAAUGGAUGGACAAGAAAAA
rnacentral:misc_RNA from 1 species